AACGACCGCUGGCGGCAUGCCAAACACAUGCAAGUCGACCGAGAUCUUCGGGUCUAGUGGCGCACGGGUGCGUAACGCGUGGGAAUCUGCCCUUUGGUUGGGAAUAACAGGUGGACACGACUGCUAAUACCGGAUGAUUACGAAAUGCCAAAGAUUUAUCGCCAGAGGAUGAGCCCGCGUAGGAUUAGCUCGUUUGUGUGGUAAAGGCGCACCACAGCGACGAUACUUAGCUUGUCAGAGAGGAUGAACAGCCACACUGGGACUGAGACGCGGCCCAGAAUCUUACGGGAGGCAGCAGUGGGUAAUACUGGAAAAUGGGCGAAAGCCUGAACCUGUAAUGCCUGGAGAGUGAUGAAGGCUUUAGGGUUGUAAAGCACUUUUACCCGGGAUUAUAAUGACAGUACCGGGAGAGUAAGCUCCGGCUAACUCCGUGCCAGCCGCCGCAGUAA
rnacentral:rRNA from 1 species